AACAAUUCCAUGACUUAACCUUACUUUGCACUUUAAACUAAUCUACAAAGAACAAAACUUUGGUUGCAAAUACCAUUUUAAUUUGGAAAACUACCAUCUAAUAUGAAACACAAGUCUUACGUUGUGUGAAGUACCGUUAAAAACUCGAAUUACGGUAAAUAUUAAAUACGCUAAAUCAGCGACUCAAAACUACACAGAGUUAACCGAAAACUACCAAAAAUACAGAUUACAUCAAAACCGUGCUGAAUUUGGAUAUUACCACUACAAAACAAAAGGCAUCCAGCCAUUUCUACAACUGGACUGCCGGAUCACAGGAAUUUAUAAUUUUGAAAAUGAAAUCAUGUCAAUUGUUCUGGAACUAUAAGCGCUAGCACGCCGAAGAAGAAUAUCUUCAUUCUUUAAGAAGUUAAAUGAUCAUGAAACACCACAAGCAUCUCGCCGGACACUACUGCCAGACCAGACUUCCAUACUAAACUGUUUCCCCUGCGGCUAUGCGGAGAUUUCUGAAAAACAAAAUGCCGACAUCGCUUCCACAGCUCCUUGGACCUAGGAUGAUCUCCAGAUUGGCUUGACCACCCUAAAUAAAUGUACCUAUCCAUAAGCUGUGAAAUUGAGUGUUGCGUUUCAACUUUAUUAAACUAAAUAUGCUACUGCAUUGAAAUUUCUGGUGCUUCAUGUUUACAAAAACUGUGCUGUGUAUAGAAAAUAAAAUAAAAUAAUGUUAACAUAA